rnacentral:rRNA from 1 species
GAUGAACGCUGACAGAAUGCUUAACACAUGCAAGUCGAUGGGGAAGUGGUGCUUGCACCCUGGCAACCAUGGCGGACGGGUGAGUAACGCGUAAGGGACUUACCUGCAGGACUGGGAUAACAGGGGGAAACUCCUGACAAGACCGGAUAAUGUCAUGGAGCUGCAUGGCUUUAUGAUGAAAGGAGACGCCUGCGGAGAGCCUUGCGUCCUAUUAGCUAGUUGGUGAGGUAAUGGCUCACCAAGGCGAAGAUAGGUAGCCGGCCUGAGAGGGUGGACGGCCACAAGGGGACUGAGAUACGGCCCUUACUCCUACGGGAGGCAGCAGUGGGGAAUAUUGGACAAGGGGGGCAACCCUGAUCCAGCAAUUCUGUGUGCACGAAGAAGGUUUUCGGAUUGUAAAGUGCUUUCAGCAGGGAAGAAGUAAGUGACGGUACCUGCAGAAGAAGCGACGGCUAAAUACGUG